AAACCAACCGGGAUUGCCUUAGUAACGGCGAAUGAAGCGGCAAAAGCUCAAAUUUGAAAUCUGGUACCUUCGGUGCCCGAGUUGUAAUUUGGAGAGGGCAACUUUGGGGCCGUUCCUUGUCUAUGUUCCUUGGAACAGGACGUCAUAGAGGGUGAGAAUCCCGUGUGGCGAGGAGUGCGGUUCUUUGUAAAGUGCCUUCGAAGAGUCGAGUUGUUUGGGAAUGCAGCUCUAAGUGGGUGGUAAAUUCCAUCUAAAGCUAAAUAUUGGCGAGAGACCGAUAGCGAACAAGUACAGUGAUGGAAAGAUGAAAAGAACUUUGAAAAGAGAGUGAAAAAGUACGUGAAAUUGUUGAAAGGGAAGGGCAUUUGAUCAGACAUGGUGUUUUGUGCCCUCUGCUCCUUGUGGGUAGGGGAAUCUCGCAUUUCACUGGGCCAGCAUCAGUUUUGGUGGCAGGAUAAAUCCAUAGGAAUGUAGCUUGCCUCGGUAAGUAUUAUAGCCUGUGGGAAUACUGCCAGCUGGGACUGAGGACUGCGACGUAAGUCAAGGAUGCUGGCAUAAUGGUUAUAUGCCGC
rnacentral:rRNA from 1 species